AGGACGAACGCUGGCGGCGUGCUUAACACAUGCAAGUCACGGGGGCUCGCAAGAGCAACCGGCGAACGGGUGCGUAACACGUGAGCAACCUGCCUUUGUGUGGGGGAUAGCCGGGCUAACGCCCGGGUAAUACCGCAUACGGUUCCCGCGAGGAGUCUCGUGGGAAAGAAACCUCCGGGGCACAGAGAGGGGCUCGCGGCCUAUCAGCUAGUUGGCGGGGUAAUGGCCCACCAAGGCGACGACGGGUAG
rnacentral:rRNA from 1 species